GUCCCAGUGGCCUAAUCGGUAAGUCAUUAGCCUCCUAAGCUAGGGAUUUGGGUUCGAGCCCCACCAUGGGUG
rnacentral:tRNA from 1 species